rnacentral:rRNA from 1 species
GACGAACGCUGGCGGCGUGCCUAAUACAUGCAAGUCGAACGCUUUUUCUUUCACCGGAGCUUGCUCCACCGAAAGAAAAAGAGUGGCGAACGGGUGAGUAACACGUGGGUAACCUGCCCAUCAGAAGGGGAUAACACUUGGAAACAGGUGCUAAUACCGUAUAACACUAUUUUACGCAUGGAAGAAAGUUGGAAGGCGAUCUUGCGUCACUGAUGGAUGGACCCGCGGUGCAUUAGCUAGUUGGUGAGGUAACGGCUCACCAAGGCAACGAUGCAUAGCCGACCUGAGAGGGUGAUCGGCCACACUGGGACUGAGACACGGCCCAGACUCCUACGGGAGGCAGCAGUAGGGAAUCUUCGGCAAUGGACGAAAGUCUGACCGAGCAACGCCGCGUGAGUGAAGAAGGUUUUCGGAUCGUAAAACUCUGUUGUUAGAGAAGAACAAGGAUGAGAGUAGAACGUUCAUCCCUUGACGGUAUCUAACCAGAAAGCCACGGCUAACUACGUGCCAGCAGCCGCCGAA